rnacentral:rRNA from 1 species
ACACGACUACAUUAGAUACCCCGGUAGUCCUAGCCGUAAACGAUACUCGCUAGGUGUCGGCCACGGUGCGACCGUUGUCGGUGCCGUAGGGAAGCCGUGAAGCGAGCCACCUGGGAAGUACGGCCGCAAGGCUGAAACUUAAAGGAAUUGGCGGGGGAGCACCACAACGGGUGGAGCUUGCGGUUUAAUUGGAUUCAACGCCGGAAAUCUUACCGGGACCGACAGCAACAUGAAGGCCAGGCAGAAGACUUUGCCGGAUUAGCUG